rnacentral:rRNA from 1 species
GUACACGCUGUGACUAGCAUAUCAAUAAGCGGAGGAAAAGAAACUAACAAGGAUUCCCCUAGUAACGGCGAGUGAAGCGGGAAGAGCUCAAAUUUGAAAUCUUAAAGGGUUUCCCUUUACGAAUUGUAGUUUAAAGAAGUGUUUUCUGUUGAGGUUUUGGUAAAAGUUCUUUGGAAUAGGACAUCAUAGAGGGUGAGAAUCCCGUAUUUGACCUUUACUUUCAACUUUGUGAUACACUUUCAAAGAGUCGGAUUGUUUGGGAAUGCAGUCCAAAAUGGGUGGUAAAUUUCAUCUAAAGCUAAAUAUUGGCGAGAGACCGAUAGCGAACAAGUACCGUGAGGGAAAGAUGAAAAGAACUUUGAAAAGAGAGUUAAACAGUACGUGAAAUUGUCAAAAGGGAAGCGUUUGACACCAGUGUUGUUUUUCUGAAAAUCAAUUAAAGAACUGUUUAUGCUAAGUUGUUUAGACUUUAUCAGCUAAUCUGUUUAGUUUUGAGCUUUUCUUUAAUGCACUUUUCAGUUAACAAGUCAACAUCAAUUUCUUUUGCUGUAAAAAAGCUUGAGGAAGGUGGCUUGAGAUUCGUCUUAAGUGUUUAUAGCCUCUUGCCUAUGCAGUCGGAGAGAUUGAGGUCUGCAGCGUAGAUCCUUCGGGGCUAAAUGCAUUUGUGCUAAGUUAUAGCAUUUUAUAGACAACUUGUUGACUAUGAUUUGUCUUGUAGCUUACUCGCUUAUGUUAUUUUACCUACGCUUAGGAUGUUGACAGCAGUAUAGACUGU